GUGAGGAAUAUUGGUCAAUGGGCGGAAGCCUGAACCAGCCAUCCCGCGUGAAGGAAGGCGGCCCUAUGGGUUGUAAACUUCUUUAGUACAUGAAGAACAGGAUCUACGCGUAGGUUUAUGACGGUAAUGUACAAAAAAGCAUCGGCUAACUCCGUGCCAGCAGCCGCGGUAAUACGGAGGAUGCGAGCGUUAUCCGGAUUCAUUGGGUUUAAAGGGUACGUAGGUGGCCCUGUAAGUCAGUGGUGAAAAUCUGCCGCUUAACGGUAGGGGUGCCAAUGAUACUGCGGGGCUUGAGACAGUUGAGGUAGGUGGAAUGUGUAGUGUAGCGGUGAAAUGCAUAGAUAUUACACAGAACUCCGAUUGCGAAGGCAUCUUACUAAGCUGAAACUGACACUGAUGUACGAAAGCGUGGGGAUCGAACAGGAUUAGAAACCCGAGUAGUCC
rnacentral:rRNA from 1 species